rnacentral:rRNA from 1 species
GAGUUUGAUCCUGGCUCAGAACGAACGCUGGCGGCAGGCCUAACACAUGCAAGUCGAGCGCGCCUUUCGGGGUGAGCGGCGGACGGGUUAGUAACGCGUGGGAAUAUGCCCUUUGGUACGGAAUAGCCUCUGGAAACGGAGAGUAAUACCGUAUGAGCCCUUCGGGGGAAAGAUUUAUCGCCAAAGGAUUAGCCCGCGUUAGAUUAGGUAGUUGGUGGGGUAAUGGCCUACCAAGCCUACGAUCUAUAGCUGGUUUUAGAGGAUGAUCAGCAACACUGGGACUGAGACACGGCCCAGACUCCUACGGGAGGCAGCAGUGGGGAAUCUUGGACAAUGGGGGCAACCCUGAUCCAGCCAUGCCGCGUGAGUGAUGAAGGCCUUAGGGUCGUAAAGCUCUUUCGCCUGUGAAGAUAAUGACGGUAGCAGGUAAAGAAACCCCGGCUAACUCCGUGCCAGCAGCCGCGGUAAUACGGAGGGGGUUAGCGUUGUUCGGAAUUACUGGGCGUAAAGCGCACGUAGGCGGACCAGAAAGUUGGGGGUGAAAUCCCGGGGCUCAACCCCGGAACUGCCUCCAAAACUAUUGGUCUAGAGUUCGAGAGAGGUGAGUGGAAUUCCAAGUGUAGAGGUGAAAUUCGUAGAUAUUUGGAGGAACACCAGUGGCGAAGGCGGCUCACUGGCUCGAUACUGACGCUGAGGUGCGAAAGUGUGGGGAGCAAACAGGAUUAGAUACCCUGGUAGUC